AAUGGGGGCAACCCUGAUCCAGCCAUGCCGCGUGAGUGAUGAAGGCCUUAGGGUCGUAAAGCUCUUUCAGCUGGGAAGAUAAUGACGGUACCAGCAGAAGAAGCCCCGGCUAACUCCGUGCCAGCAGCCGCGGUAAUACGGAGGGGGCUAGCGUUGUUCGGAAUUACUGGGCGUAAAGCGCGCGUAGGCGGGCUGUUAAGUCGGGGUGAAAUCCCGGGGCUCAACCCCGGAACUGCCUCCGAUACUGGCAGCCUAGAGAUCGAGAGAGGCGAGUGGAAUACCGAGUGUAGAGGUGAAAUUCGUAGAUAUUCGGUGGAACACCAGUGGCGAAGGCGGCUCGCUGGCUCGAUACUGACGCUGAGGUGCGAAAGCGUGGGGAGCAAACAGGAUU
rnacentral:rRNA from 1 species